AAAUGGGGCAGUAUGGUCUUGGAUUGGCAUGAGUUGCUGCAGCAUUUGCUGAUUGAUGAGGGGGUGCAAUUGGACUCAUCCAUCAUGACUUGGCCAGAUACUGUCCAUCAAACCAUGGUCCAUGUGGUAACCACAUGACCCCCUACAUCAGCCUAAAGCAGCAGGAAGACAA